rnacentral:lncRNA from 9 species
UGGAGCUUUGUUCCCAGGCUAAGGCUCAAAUCAGAGCUGUAGCCACUGGCCUAUACCACAGCCACAGCAACGCAGGAUCCAAGUUGCAUCUGCGUGCGACCUGCACCACAGCUCUCGGCAACACUGGAUCCUUAACCCAGAGUGAGGCCAGGAAUUGACCCUGUGUCCUCAUGGAUGCCAGUCGGAUUCAUUUCUGCUGAGCCACAAGGGGAACUCCUGAAUAUGUACAUUUUGAAGAUAGCUAAGAUGAUUCCCAUAGGAACAAUUUCUAGAAGUGGAAUAAAGUGAUGAUAAUAAAAGUAUCUGUUCCAGAGAGUGGAUGUAAGGAAAAUGAGAUCAAAUGAAUUAAACCACUCACAACAGUGUUUGGUACAUGCCAAACAGUCAAAGAAUGUUAGGUGUGAUUGUUGAAAUUAUGUUCCACUUGAUAAAUAUUUAGAAAUAACAUUCCAGUGGACUCCUUUUCAUUUUUUUUCAUUUUUUCAAAGUUUUUUUUGAAGUAGGGUUGAUUUACAAGGUUGUGAUAAUUUCUGCUGUAAAACAGAAAUUAGUUAUGUAUACAAACAUCCAUUCUCUUUCAGAUUUUUUUUUUCCCAUAUAGAUUAAUAGAUUAUCACAGAAUAUUAGCUAGAGUUCCCUGGUUUUUUUUUUUUUUUUUUUUUUUUUUUUAAGGCCACACCUGAGGCAUAUGGAGGCUCCCAGGCUAGGGGUCGAAUCAGAUCUGUAGCUGAUGGCCUAUAACACAGCCACAGCCAUGCAGGAUCCAAGCUGCAUCUGUGACCUACACGACAGCUCAUAGCAACGCCAGAUCCUUAACCCACUGAGUGAGGCCAGGGAUCAAACCCUCAUCCUCAUGGAUACUACUCAGGCUUGUUACCACUGACCCAUGACUCCCUCUGGUCAUUCUUAAUAUAAGCAUGUCAUCAAACAUUUUAAUAGUGGUUAAAAUAUUGUGAACCACAACACUAAGCUUUGUGAAGGACAUCUGAGGGAAGAGAUGGGCUUCUGGCAAGAAGAGAUUAAAGAAACCAGCAACGGGCCCUUUGAAGAGUGGAUUAAAGGAGUGAGAAAUAGCCUAGAAAGAAAUGAUGAGACAAAUGUCACCAUUUCAUCUGAUGUACUUGGAUAUUUGGAUGAUUCUUCAAUCCCAAAAGCCAUGCAGCUAUUGUCACAAGGUACACCGGCUGGGACCAGGCCUACAGGUGGCAGGCAGCAGUAUCCACAGCAAGGCCCAGGGAGACAGGCUCAAUGGCCAGGGUUGGGACGUCUCUGGCUUAGCCCAAUCUGCUCUGAAUGCUCUCAUCCUAGUAGGCUGACAUCCUUCAACCAAAAAUCAGUGUGCGUGUUUGUGUGUGUGUGUGUGUGUGUGUGUGUGUGUGUAUGUGUGUGUGUUUCUUUUAGAAAGAUUAAUAAAAUUACUCUAUUUAAUUAUUUUUAUUGAAGUAUAGUUGUUUUACAAUAUUUUAUAAGUUUCAAGUAUAUAGCAUGGCGAUUCAAUAUUUUUUUGAGUUAUACUCCAUUUAAAGCUAUUAGAAAAUAAUGGCUAUAUUUCCCUGUACUGUAUAAUAUAUCUUUGUUGCUUAUCUACUUUACACAUCGCAGUUGUAUUUCUUCAUCCCAUACCCCUCCCUUGCCCUUCUCCCAAAG